GAUGAAAUUACUGGGUUAUAUGGUAAGUAUAGUUAACUUUUUAAGAAACUGUCAAGCCAUUUUCCAAAGUAGCUGUACAAUUUUAUAUUCCCACCAGCAAU
rnacentral:pre_miRNA from 1 species